UUCCAGGUAGCUCAGUGGUAAAGAACCUGCCUGCCAAUCAGGAGACACAGGUUUAAUCCCUGGGUUGGGAA
rnacentral:tRNA from 1 species